GCCUACCAGGUGAAAGAGGCCUUCCUGGGCCACCUGGACCCCCAGGGCCUUUCUCCAUCAGGGGAGAUGUUUUCACUCUAACGGCUAAACAACAUGCCCAGUAUGAAGAUAGUGACUUAGCUGCCUAUCGUGACCUGCAGGCUUUUCUUGGUCCUCCUGGGCCCUCCGGCCCUCCUGGUCCACCAGGGCCUGCCGGACCACCUGGACACCCAGGUGCACCAGGGAAAAAUG